rnacentral:rRNA from 1 species
UUGUGGUUAAAAAGCUCGUAGUUGGAUCUCGGCGGUCUGAGGGCGGUUCGCUUGAUUGAGUGCUACUGCUCUAUAGGCCGUGGUUUCGCCAGAGGUCUCGGGGUGCUCUUAACCGAGUGUCCUGCGAUGCUGGCAGGUUUACUUUGAAAAAAUUAGAGUGCUCAAAGCGGGCUUUUACGCCUGAAUAUUCGUGCAUGGAAUAAUAGAACAGGAAGUCGUUUCUAUUUUGUUGGUUUUCGGAAAUCGACUUAAUGAUUAAUAGGGACAGUCGGGGGCAUUUGUAUUCAAACGACAGAGGUGAAAUUCUUGGACCGUUUGAAGACAAACUACUGCGAAA